rnacentral:rRNA from 1 species
GACGAACGCGGCGGCGUGCUUAACACAUGCAAGUCGAACGAAGAGCGAUGGAAGCUUGCUUCUAUCAAUCUUAGUGGCGAACGGGUGAGUAACGCGUAAUCAACCUGCCCUUCAGAGGGGGACAACAGUUGGAAACGACUGCUAAUACCGCAUACGAUCUAACCUCGGCAUCGAGGAAAGAUGAAAGGUGGCCUCUAUGUAUAAGCUAUCACUGAAGGAGGGGAUUGCGUCUGAUUAGCUAGUUGGAGGGGUAACGGCCCACCAAGGCGAUGAUCAGUAGCCGGUCUGAGAGGAUGAACGGCCACAUUGGGACUGAGACACGGCCCAGACUCCUACGGGAGGCAGCAGUGGGGAAUCUUCCGCAAUGGACGAAAGUCUGACGGAGCAACGCCGCGUGAGUGAUGACGGCCUUCGGGUUGUAAAGCUCUGUUAAUCGGGACGAAAAGGCCUUCUUGCGUAUAGUGAGA